rnacentral:rRNA from 1 species
UACGUAGGGUGCGAGCGUUGUCCGGAAUUACUGGGCGUAAAGAGCUCGUAGGUGGUUUGUCGCGUUGUUCGUGAAAACUCACAGCUCAACUGUGGGCGUGCGGGCGAUACGGGCAGACUGGAGUACUGCAGGGGAGACUGGAAUUCCUGGUGUAGCGGUGGAAUGCGCAGAUAUCAGGAGGAACACCGAUGGCGAAGGCAGGUCUCUGGGCCGAUACUGACGCUGAGGAGCGAAAGCGUGGGGAGCGAACAGG